rnacentral:rRNA from 1 species
UCAGUAACACGUAGUCAACUGCCCUGGAGACGUGGACAAACCCGGGAAACUGGGGCCUAUCCGCGACUAGACUGACCUCAUCUGGAAGGAGUGGUCGUCCAAAGGGCGGCACGGGUAUGCUCCGUGCCUUUCGCUCCAGGAUGGGACUGCGGCCGAUCAGGCUGUUGGCGGGGUAAUGGCCACCAAACCUGUAACCGGUACGGGCUUUGAGAGAAGGAGCCCGGAGAUGGACACUGAGACAAGGGUCCAGGCCCUACGGGGCGCAUCAGGCGCGAAAACUUCGCAAUGCGCGAAAGCGUGACGAGGCUCAGUCCGAGUGCUUCCUGCUACAAAGGGAGCUUUUCUCGGCUGUAACUAGGCCAGGAGGAAUAAGGGGAUGG